CAGAAGGAACUAGUCCCCAAGAGCUGGGGUGGGGUGGGGGCUGGGGUGUGUGUGAGGGAGAGACAGGUGUUAAGGACAGAGAACGUUGACACAGAACCUAGGAACGGGUCAGAGACAACAGGACCUGGUAGGUAGGAUGAAGCAGACUCACCGUCAGAGGUCAGAGGGGACAUAGGGGACCAGGAAUGGGAAUGACAGAAGCCUAAAGAAAGAAGCUGGAGAUGCCCACAGAGGGAGGAGCUGAGAUUUUAAUUAGGAGCUGCAGCGUCUCUUCUGUGGACGAGGCUCAGGCUCUGAGUCUAGGCACAGCCACAGCAGCUGCUGGGACCCAGGAAGCAUGAAUAACGCCAAGAUAACAACCUACAGCAUCAAUGGUAAUAACCAUGAACACUUAAGAACGCUUUUAACUGGAACCCGGCAGAGGCUCUUUUAACCACUCACUGCCCCAGCACCACAGGGUGAAGUACUGAAGAUCACUGCUUUCAAAGAAACUGAAGCCCAGCAAGAUUAAGACCCACCUUCUGAGUGCCCCCCCUCCCCGCCCCAAGUCUCAUGAUAGAAGCCCUCAGCCCCAAACCUCUUAGGGCUCAAGAGAUUUUGUCCUAGUGGGGCCUUGGCCUAUCUGUAAAAUGGGAACAGAGAAGCCCACAGUCCCUAAUGGAGUGAUAACUCUGUGCCAAGCCCGGUACUGAGGGAUGCAAUGGACACCACCCUCUGGGAGCUCCCGGUCUCAGAGACAGACAGACAUGUAACAGUUCACCCAGAGAACAUGUGAACACAUCAUAGCUAACAUGGUGGGAUAACAGGUCUUGAAGCAAGUGAGAUAUAUGGCCAAGAUCUCCUUCCUUCUGGCUAACCUGCGCUCGGUAUGCUCAGUGAGAGGAUGUGGUUCACUUAACCAAGCCCUGGGUCAGAUCUCCCUAGAAAUUUAGAACUACAAGUUACACCAGACUGACACUGAGAUGCAAAUUGCUAUUAAAUACACUGUUUUUAAAAAAUGCAGACUCCAGGGUUGCUUGCCUCUGCCUCCCAAGAGCUGGGGUUAAAGCAUUACACCUGGUGUGCCUUUUAACAUUUUUAAAGUGUGUGUGUCAGUGCCUGUUUGAAUCCCUUGGAACUGGGGUUAUCUACUGGUGGUUGUUAGCUACCUGAUGACCUGAGAAUUGAACCCAGGUCCUCUGGAAGAACAGCAAAAUGUGCCUACCACUGAGUCACCUGUCCAUAUUAAAUUCAUGGUAGGGCUGCUA
rnacentral:lncRNA from 1 species